GGUUAGGUAUGGGGGACUUUUGGGAUAGCAUUGGAAAUGUAAACAAGGAAAAUACCUAAUAAAUUAAAAAAAAAACAUUGUAUACCAUAGCUCUAGAGGAACAGUGAAAGAAUAUACAAAAGUUUACACUGAAUAUUAUUUCUACUGACUAUACUGAUGACUAUGCAAAUGAGGUGGAAAAGGUAUUUCUAGACAUGUCAGUUGCUAGCUCCAAUAAUUUAUGUUUGCAGGCUUUUCUGCCUUCCAAGUAGUUUGAACAACUUGCAAAUAAAGCGUACUAAAAAUACUAGAUGAUAAACAAAUAAAAAAGGUUGACAACUCAUAUGAAAUUGCAUACUUUUUAUACCGAAGUUUCUUACAGCUAAAACAUGAAAAUACUUCAAAAUAUGAAAUUAAGCUUUGCAUUCUUCCUGCACUCUUAUUAAGUUCUACACAUUCGACAAGCAAUAGUUAUAAAAUGAAUCAACAUAGACUUCAUUAUGCCCGUGAUUUCUACUAAAUGAUACUAAACAUUAGAUUAGGUCAUGUUUUGGGCAUUUUGUGACAUUUUUAUUUAUAUAGCGCAUAUAGAAAAAUAGUAAAGAAAUCAUAAUUGUACAAGGAGCUGGCUUGUUACAAAGGAAUUUCUCCAUAAAGACAAUGUCCAUAUCAAGAGGCAGAACAUUUGCAGCUUCCAAAAGCUCAUCUGAUUCUGAUCCUUGCUCACUGACAGUUCUCGAUUGAGGUAAUUAUCUUGAUGAGAUAACAUUUUGUUCAACACUGAGGAAAAGGUUACAAAGCAUAUUUUAAUUUGUAUUUAUUUUAUGCCUGAAAUUUUAACUAAAAUUUAGUAAAAGCUAUCAAAAUAAAAUGUAUUUUUCUUUAUCAUUACAAGUGUGUUCUAUGCUUAAGUGUAGGAUAUUUUGUAUUAAUUACAAAUCUUCAAAUAUUUAUAUAUUUAGUUUGAUUUACUUCUAUAUGCUGGCUCUAACUGAACCUCUCAAUAAUUCAUAUGCAGAAGCUUUAAGCUCAGAAUAUAGCCUUCUGUGAAUAGUUCUAGGUCUUAAUUAAGUUAGAUGACAUCAUACUUAAAUUUGCUGAGAUAUUUAUAUAGUAUGUUUGUUUGUUUUCCUAUUGGAAAACAAUAAUUGGAAAGAAUCAAGAACAACACAGAAGUAUCUUAGCAUGAUUUUGUAGACCAAGAAACACCAAGAACUGGUUGAUAACUACCAAAUCCUCUGUGAGUGGUAUGGAGAAACCCCUUCUAUAUAGUCUGAAAUGAAGCAAUCCUGCUAAGGCUUUACUCUUAGAUUUCUGGCUUUAAGAAACUAGAGAUUACAGGUGGCAGUGUAUGCGUUCAACCCCUCCCCUUGGGAGGCAAAGGCAGGCAGAAUUUUGAGAUAUAAACCAGCCUGGUCUACAGAGUGAAUUCCUGAGAAGCAAGGCAAAAAACAAACAAAUAAAAAACAAACAAACAAAAAACCACACACACACACAAACACACACACUCACACACACAAACACACAGACACACAGAAAGGCAAACUCAGGAGAUAGCAGGUUGGGGCGGGGAGCUCUAGCAUGUACCAGAGACCUGGGAAGUGAGAGACCCUCAGGAUUCAAAGGGAGGACCUUAGAUGAAAUGCCCUACAGUGGGGAGGGGGAACUUGUAGAACACAACUCCAGCAGAGAGACAGGGCAUCAAGUGGGAGAUGGGGUUGCCAUCCCACUGUCAAAACUCUGUCCCAUAAUUGUUCCUCUCUGAAAAAAUUUGAGGAUAAAAAUGAAGAGGAGCCUGAGGAAAAGAAGGUCCAGCCACAGUUCUAAAGUGAGAUCCACCUCAAGGGGAGGCCCCAUGGAAAGCUCCAAAAAGCUCAGUCUGUUGCCAAUGCUAUUGCUUGUUCUGUAUAAGCUGACAGUAAGCCCCUAUUACUGAAGACGAUAGACAACACCUACAGAUCUCAUUGAACAUGGCGACAUCAUGCUGGAAACUAACUAGAAGCUUUACCUUUACUGACUAGUUUUCAUCUUACUGAAUGGUGCUCUCUAUACCAAAGAAGAAAGAUAUCUCCCAAUCCAGCUACAAACCCUGUGACCUCUAAGAUUAACCUGCUUCUAUGAUACCCAGGUGCAAUAGGGGCACAAAAGUUUUGGAGUAACCAUCCAUUAUCUGAAAGGAUUUAAGCCUACUUCAUGAGAAGGAUCUCAUGUCUGACACUGCAUGGGUGGCCAAGCACUGGAGACAAAAUAAUGUGAGAACACCUAGUGGAAAAGAGACACUGGUGCUCUGCUAGAGGAACAUUUCAAUACAAAGAUCCUUAAUGACGUUCUACAGAAUUUAUUCAUAACUCUCUCACUCAGUAAUUAUCAAUAAGCUUCCUCUGAGAGUAGAUGAGAACGAAAACUGACCCACAACUGGAAACCUACAGAAAGUGAGAAAUUGGAACACUUAGUUUUAAAUGAGAUGUCUCUAUCAAAUUCCCCCUCAGGGAACCUUGCAGAAGAGAC
rnacentral:lncRNA from 1 species